GCCGUUCACUUUGACAUUUUCGCGAUUCUUCUGUUUCAAUUGUACGAACUAUUUAGGGUUUAAAUCAUCGUCUAAUUAGUAUGCUUUUGUUAUUGUAGUAGUUGUUGUUGUGUAAAAGUAAUGGCGGGGAGGAAUCGGAUCCCUCGUGAAGUGUACGGUGAUCAUCGCCAUGGGUUCCCUCCUGAUAGACACCACAUCCGUGGGCAUCCUAUGCCGCACCGUCCUCCACCUCCUCAUCCUGCUUUGCUGGAGGAGGAGAUUGAACGGCAGCAUGUUCAUAUGCGGAGGCUAUCGGGGG
rnacentral:lncRNA from 1 species